AAAUUGAAGAGUUUGAUCAUGGCUCAGAUUGAACGCUGGCGGCAGGCCUAACACAUGCAAGUCGAACGGUAACAGGAAACAGCUUGCUGUUUCGCUGACGAGUGGCGGACGGGUGAGUAAUGUCUGGGAAACUGCCUGAUGGAGGGGGAUAACUACUGGAAACGGUAGCUAAUACCGCAUAACGUCGCAAGACCAAAGAGGGGGACCUUCGGGCCUCUUGCCAUCGGAUGUGCCCAGAUGGGAUUAGCUAGUAGGUGGGGUAACGGCUCACCUAGGCGACGAUCCCUAGCUGGUCUGAGAGGAUGACCAGCCACACUGGAACUGAGACACGGUCCAGACUCCUACGGGAGGCAGCAGUGGGGAAUAUUGCACAAUGGGCGCAAGCCUGAUGCAGCCAUGCCGCGUGUAUGAAGAAGGCCUUCGGGUUGUAAAGUACUUUCAGCGGGGAGGAAGGGAGUAAAGUUAAUACCUUUGCUCAUUGACGUUACCCGCAGAAGAAGCACCGGCUAACUCCGUGCCAGCAGCCGCGGUAAUACGGAGGGUGCAAGCGUUAAUCGGAAUUACUGGGCGUAAAGCGCACGCAGGCGGUUUGUUAAGUCAGAUGUGAAAUCCCGGGCUCAACCUCGGGAACUGCAUCUGAUACUGGCAAGCUUGAGUCUCGUAGAGGGGGUAGAAUUCCAGUGUAGCGGUGAAAUGCGUAGAGAUCUGGAGGAAUACCGGUGGCGAAGGCGGCCCCCUGGACGAAGACUGACGCUCAGGUGCGAAAGCGUGGGGAGCAAACAGGAUUAGAUACCCUGGUAGUCCACGCCGUAAACGAUGUCGACUUGGAGGUUGUGCCCUUGAGGCGUGGCUUCCGGAGCUAACGCGUUAAGUCGACCGCCUGGGGAGUACGGCCGCAAGGUUAAAACUCAAAUGAAUUGACGGGGCCCGCACAAGCGGUGGAGCAUGUGGUUUAAUUCGAUGCAACGCGAAGAACCUUACCUGGUCUUGACAUCCACAGAACUUUCCAGAGAUGGAUUGGUGCCUUCGGGAACUGUGAGACAGGUGCUGCAUGGCUGUCGUCAGCUCGUGUUGUGAAAUGUUGGGUUAAGUCCCGCAACGAGCGCAACCCUUAUCCUUUGUUGCCAGCGGUCCGGCCGGGAACUCAAAGGAGACUGCCAGUGAUAAACUGGAGGAAGGUGGGGAUGACGUCAAGUCAUCAUGGCCCUUACGACCAGGGCUACACACGUGCUACAAUGGCGCAUACAAAGAGAAGCGACCUCGCGAGAGCAAGCGGACCUCAUAAAGUGCGUCGUAGUCCGGAUUGAGUCUGCAACUCGACUCCAUGAAGUCGGAAUCGCUAGUAAUCGUGGAUCAGAAUGCCACGGUGAAUACGUUCCCGGGCCUUGUACACACCGCCCGUCACACCAUGGGAGUGGGUUGCAAAAGAAGUAGGUAGCUUAACCUUCGGGAGGGCGCUUACCACUUUGUGAUUCAUGACUGGGGUGAAGUCGUAACAAGGUAACCGUAGGGGAACCUGCGGUUGGAUCACCUCCUUA
rnacentral:rRNA from 1 species